rnacentral:tRNA from 1 species
GGCAACGUGUCCGAGUGGUUAUGGAGCUGCACUCGAAAUGCAGUGGCUUCGGCCGCGUAGGUUCGAAUCCUGCCGUUGUCG